rnacentral:rRNA from 1 species
CGUACCCCAAACCGACACAGGUGGUCAGGUAGAGAAUACCAAGGCGCUUGAGAGAACUCGGGUAAAGGAACUAGGCAAAAUGGUGCCGUAACUUCGGGAGAAGGCACGCCGGUGGUAUGUGACGCCCUUCGCGGGUUGAGCAGAAGCCGGUCGAAGAUACCAGGCCCCUGCGACUGUUUAUUAAAAACACAGCACUGUGCAAACACGAAAGUGGACGUAUACGGUGUGACGCCUGCCCGGUGCCGGAAGG